rnacentral:rRNA from 1 species
AGAGUUUGAUCAUGGCUCAGAUUGAACGCUGGCGGCAGGCCUAACACAUGCAAGUCGAGCGGUAGCACAGAGAGCUUGCUCUCGGGUGACGAGCGGCGGACGGGUGAGUAAUGUCUGGGAAACUGCCUGAUGGAGGGGGAUAACUACUGGAAACGGUAGCUAAUACCGCAUAACGUCGCAAGACCAAAGUGGGGGACCUUCGGGCCUCAUGCCAUCAGAUGUGCCCAGAUGGGAUUAGCUGGUAGGUGGGGUAACGGCUCACCUAGGCGACGAUCCCUAGCUGGUCUGAGAGGAUGACCAGCUACACUGGAACUGAGACACGGUCCAGACUCCUACGGGAGGCAGCAGUGGGGAAUAUUGCACAAUGGGCGCAAGUCUGACGGAGCAACGCCGCGUGAGUGAUGAAGGUUUUCGGAUCGUAAAGCUCUGUUGUUAGGGAAGAACAAGUACCGUUCGAAUAGGGCGGUACCUUGACGGUACCUAACCAGAAAGCCACGGCUAACUACGUGCCAGCAGCCGCGGUAAUACGUAGGUGGCAAGCGUUGUCCGGAAUUAUUGGGCGUAAAGGGCUCGCAGGCGGUUUCUUAAGUCUGAUGUGAAAGCCCCCGGCUCAACCGGGGAGGGUCAUUGGAAACUGGGGAACUUGAGUGCAGAAGAGGAGAGUGGAAUUCCACGUGUAGCGGUGAAAUGCGUAGAGAUGUGGAGGAACACCAGUGGCGAAGGCGACUCUCUGGUCUGUAACUGACGCUGAGGAGCGAAAGC